ACCAUAUCCUGGAGGACCUGGGAAAGAAAAGGAGGAGGCCUCGUUAACCAGCUACCCCUUGAAAAGCAAAUACCUCUGGUCACAAUAGCCCCAACGAUAAUCAAUUUGAAAACUGGACUUGAGCAUCCUGGGAUUUUGGUGCCCACGAUGAGUCCUGGAACCAAUCCCCUUCGGGUAACUGAGAGACAACUAUACUUUGUGACGUGGAUACAAAACUAUUAACUGAGUAGCAUCUUAACUCAAAUUUGGAAAAAAAAAAAAAA